AAACCAGAGCUAAAAUAGAAGGAACCUCAUAAUGGGAUGAUAAAAAGGAAGUAGAAACAAAAGCUGCGAAGUAAGAUAACUCACCUCUCAACUUGUCAAGUCUCUGAUGUGAGAUCCAGUAUUAAACAAAGAGUCACACCGAAAGGCUUACACAGUAGAAGAGUUUAAAGUAAGGCCCUCUUUCCUUCAUCAGUCCAUCCUAUGAAUCCCAUAAUGACAGCACAUGGGGAAAUAUGAGAGUGAGAAAUAAAG